rnacentral:antisense_RNA from 1 species
AAUAGGCAUUCAGCGCAUGUUGGCACAAGUCUGAGCGCACACAGUCCUCUUUGGUAAAGCGAAUGAUGCCGACCAUCUCGUCUUCCUGGAAGCGAGUAAGCGCAUCAGAAAGCCCUGACACCACGCCGCGUGGUAAAUCGCACUGUGUGAUAUCCCCGUUAACAAUAACGGUCACGUUUUCACCGAGACGCGUU